rnacentral:rRNA from 1 species
AAUACGUUCCCGGGCCUUGUACACACCGCCCGUCACGUCACGAAAGUCGGUAACACCCGAAGCCGGUGGCCCAACCCGUAAGGGAGGGAGCCGUCGAAGGUGGGAUCGGCGACUGGGACG